rnacentral:lncRNA from 1 species
AUGCUAGUAGUGCUAAGUUGCCAGUGGAAACUGCCCAUGGGCCACAUGAGAGACCACGGAUCCUGUAAUGCUGGGAGGCAUAAAGCUGGCACAGAAGUGCUGCAGAGAGGCUGUCACCAGUUAGAGGGAAGGAGCCAGAGAAGCAAGAGGUGUGGCAACAGCCAAGGGUCUUCAAAGGUAGAUGGACUGUGCACUCCCUUCCUGAAUGGGAGACCAGCACAGAGACCUUGGGGGCACGCCCUGCCCAGCCCUGCCCAGCCUCGCCCAGGCUCCAGCCGGAGGCUCCGCCCCAGGCCAUGGCCUUCCACUUGCUCACGUGACCAUGCCACAGGCAUGCAGAGAGGCAGGCUGAGCUCUGCCAGGCCAGCAGGGUCCGUGCCAGGCCUGGUGGACUUCGAGGACAAGGAGCAGGUGAAGGCCUUUCUGGAGAACGUGGUGGAGUGCAAGUACCAGUGCUACUGUGAGAAGGACCCGAAUGGUGAGUGCUGGCAGAGCAGCCUGCGAACACGAGGAGAUGCAUGGGGAUGGGCGGGGGCUGCAGGGGCCACGAGCCACCUCUGAAGGAGAUCCAGAAGGGGUCUCUGGUCUAGGUAAGUUGGUGGGGCCAGGUGCUUGAGGACCCCUAAUCCUCUGCCAUCUGCCCCAUCCCCCAACUGAGUCAGAUUCAUUUAAUUUUUUAAGGCCAGUAAAAAAUGAGUAAUUUUGUAGGAAAACGGUGUUUACUGUAACUGACAAAGGAAGAGAUAGAAAACCUAAAUGGAGAAAUUUCCAUACACCACCCACAAGAAAUAAAGUUGGGGGAUGAAGCUGCCCUCCAUAAUGUAUCUGAUCCUCCUGGUUUCCCAUGGGAAUGCCAUCAAACACUUAAAGAAAAGAUUACUUUAGUGGCAUUGAGAUUUGAGAGCAUAGAAAAAGAUUGAAACUUUCCACAGUGUAAAAAAAAAAGCGAAAGCAGUGUAACACUGAUAUUAUGACCCCAUAAAGACAGGACCAGGAGAAAAAAAGCCAACUUCAGUUGCGAGAACUAAUGAGGAAAGUCUCAGUAAGAUAUCAUCAAUGGAUUCCACGGCACAUUAAGUGACCCAAAUAUCUAGCCAAGUGAGGCCCCUUUUGGGAAAGCCACGAUGAGAUGGCUAGUAUUUGGAAAUUUAUAAAUAAAUUCUGUAAAUAGAAUUCCCAUAUUACCUGGUCACACCCGGAAAACACUAUUGGUACAUAUGGUAGAAAAUAUUUUGUGAGAUUGAACAUUAAUUACUUGAAGUAAUUUUUACUUUCAUACCAACUUCAUAUUUAAAAUUAUGUCCUGGAGUAAAACACAUAUCAUCAUAGGGUUACCAGCAUUUGGAAAUUCUGGGAGAGCAUUUAAAAACUCCUGAUACAAUACAACGUCCCAGGGUUGGCAGGGUAGGGGUACGCACUCAACUCACUUGGGUGAAGAUGGAAAGAUGAUGAUGUGGAAAGAGGGGCUCCUUGUUUAUAAAAGACCCUCAGAAGAAGGAAAUGAAGUGGAGAAGAAUGUCUUUAUUUGGGGCAUAUAAUGUUUAAGUUGUAAUUAUGGUACAGAAUCAAUACAAAUUCAUCUGGAAAAAUUAAGAAUUGUCGGAAAGAAAAAAGACAGGGAGGGGUGAAGAGAAGCCAUUCCUAAUCCCGUAGUCAUUAGAAACAGCCAGUAUUAUUUGUCACAUAUCUGCGAGCCUCUCUCUAUCCUGUUCAUCCAGCCAUGAUUGAGGUCCGUGGAAAAGGCAGACAAGAUGUUAAUCUGAGAGGCAGGCAUGUGGAGUGACGACAAGCUCUGACACUGAGCCAGGUGGCCUGAGUUUUAAGUCCCAACUCAUUUGUUUCUAUGUGUGGAACCAUCGCCAGUUAUUAUUUAAAGAGUAGAUGGCCUGAUACCUCUGAGUGUAUUACUUGAUACCUAUUAAAAACUGGAAAUUCUGCGGUGCAACUGUUUUAUAUAUAUAGUGCGGGGGGUAAUUUCUUCAACUGUAAGUAAGAAGAGGCUCAAGUAAGUUUUCAAGUAUAACAUUUUAAAGGCACCUGUGUAAGAGCUGAAGUAGAUAAAACGUAAAAGCCAACAGUUUUGCAUUUGUUAAAGCAGAUUUUUUAAGGAACUCCAUGUGUCUUCUAGUGCACUAAAAAUACAUUCUCACCUUUUGUUGUUUCUUGGGUAAUGUUGGGAAAGAAAGGACCCAAUUAUUCCCUGAUAGUAUAAUUUUACUUGUUUUACAGGACAGAAAGUUAUCUAAGCUCAAUAGUUCUGAGAAAUGUCUUCAUCUAGGAGCAUUCCCUCUGUUUCUUAGAAGUUUGAAUUUGGGAGAAAGGUUGACAAUCUGGGGGAAAAAAAAGACGAAGCGAAAGGAACAGCAUGCUCAGGAGGGCACACACCACGCCAGUUCCCUUGCUUCUAAUGGUUAUCACGUACCAACCCAAGUGGCUGCCGCCUUAUUAAUCAUCAUGUAUGUAUUUAGUAGAGAUAUGAACUACAACUGAUACUUAAAGUACUGAAGCAAUAUGUUUUAGAAGUUACAUAUUUUAGAAAACUAUCAUAAUUAUUCAAGGGAAAAAGGUUUAGCUUUUAUGUGGGCUCUAUUUGAUAAUGAUUUUUACCCCCAUUUGACAUCUCAUGUAACAAUGUACGGUGAUAGUAACUAAAUUUACUGUGGUAACCAUUUUGCAAUAUAUAUAUACAGCAAAUCAUUAUGUUGUACAUAUAAAAAGUAUUACAGUGGUACAUGUCAAUGAUGUCGCAAUUAGAAAAACUUUGAUUUAAACAUAGAACAUUGACAUGAGAAUCUUAAAGAAGAAUCAGACUGGACCAUAGAAAUAAGCCCACUUAUUUAUUAUCUACAGAUUUAUAGAAACGUUUAAUUUUUUUUUGAGGUUUAGUGGAUCUGUUUCUAUUCGCAGUGCUGAAAACCCUUCAACUAUCUCACUGUUUGCUAGCAGGUGAACUUGUA